UACGUAGGUGGCAAGCGUUGUCCGGAAUUAUUGGGCGUAAAGCGCGCGCAGGCGGUCCUUUAAGUCUGAUGUGAAAGCCCACGGCUCAACCGUGGAGGGUCAUUGGAAACUGGGGGACUUGAGUACAGAAGAGAAGAGUGGAAUUCCACGUGUAGCGGUGAAAUGCGUAGAGAUCGGGAGGAACACCUGUGGCGAAGGCGGCUCGCUGGGCCGGUCCUGACGCUGAGACGCGAAGGCGUGGGGAGCGAACGGG
rnacentral:rRNA from 1 species